UACGGGGGGGGCAAGCGUUGUUCGGAAUUACUGGGCGUAAAGGGCUCGUAGGCGGCCAACUAAGUCAGACGUGAAAUCCCUCGGCUUAACCGGGGAACUGCGUCUGAUACUGGAUGGCUUGAGUUUGGGAGAGGGAUGCGGAAUUCCAGGUGUAGCGGUGAAAUGCGUAGAUAUCGAGAGGAACACCUGCGGCGAAGGCGGGUUGCUGGGCUGACACUGACGCUGAUGUGCGAAAGCUAGGGGAGCGAACGGG
rnacentral:rRNA from 1 species